UACGAACCGUGCAAACGUUGUUCGGAAUCACUGGGCUUAAAGGGCGCGUAGGCGGGCAGGCAAGUCGGAGGUGAAAGCCCACGGCUCAACCGUGGAAGUGCCCCCGAUACUGCCAGUCUUGAGGGAGGUAGGGGCGUGCGGAACUUCCGGUGGAGCGGUGAAAUGCGUAGAUAUCGGAAGGAACGCCGGUGGCGAAAGCGACGUGCUGGACCUUCUCUGACGCUGAGGCGCGAAAGCUAGGGGAGCGAACGGG
rnacentral:rRNA from 1 species